UAUAGGACAAAGAUAUAUGCCAGGAAGCAUCUGAGGGGAGCACGAGGCAACAGGGCACGACCACCCCCCUAGGGACGCCAUUUUUGUGGUGCUCCUCUUGUGAGGCUUCAGGCCUCGUCGAGAAGCUUCCAGAUCUUCUUUUGGUCCAUCAAAAAUCACCCAAAAAUUUCGUGGCAAUUGGACUACGUUUGGUACUCUAAACUUGAAAAGCCAAAAACACGCAGAAAACAUCAACUGGCACUGAGCAUUGUGCAAUAGGUUAGUGCUAAAAAGUAAUAAAAUUAAUAUAUAAACAGCGAAAAAGUAUACUAGGAACAAUCAGAAUAUAUAUAUAUAUACGUUGGAGACUAGUCACCGUAUCAUCAUGCGUCCAAUGCAACGAAAUAAAGUGUCAGAUGACAUGCAUAAAAGUUGUUUUUGCAACAUGAUCAGGGGGUUGUUUGCGUGGCUCAACAAAGUCUUUGUGGUCUUCAAAUGCUUCUUAUCGAACUUCUUCGUCAGCCACGUAAUCUAUUGUCGCGAAACAACACGCACAAAUAAGGCUAAAGCAAAAACAGAAAAAGUCAAUCACUAGUAAAAAUGUCAACCCAUUUUUGAUAAAUACUAGAGUUAAAACUAAAAAUAUUGCAUGUGUUGGUUUUGGAUUUGGAGUCACACAAAUGAAGAUAUUGAUUUUAGGUAAUGGAUUUAAACAGAACAGGUUCUCCAAAUUGUGCACAAGUGGCACCAUUAAAUAGGUUGGACUUAAAAAAAAUAGAAACUUGAAUCACUGGAUUUGGACAAGUUUACUCAGCUGUGAAAUUUUCGCAAGAAUCUGCAGAAAAAUAAAAAGGAAAGGCCAGCAGACUGGUUGGGCCAAAUCUACCGACAGCUAGGCCAGUCUGGAGUAACGCCAGCCUAGGUGAGCCGCGACACGCACGCUGUCCCAUGUUUACAUGUGACGGGCGGGGCCCAACAUCAGCGAGAGAGAGAGGCGCGUGAGAGAGGCAUGAGGUUGACGAGAAGGCCCCGCGGGGUCAUUGUCAACCUCCGGCUAGAGGGGGCUGCGAGCUCACCAGCAUCGACUGCGUCCAUGACGAGGCAAACUGACGGCGGGAAUGGACUCGGGGGGCGGUCGCCAUUCGGAGGGUGGUUCAGAUGAUUGACGGAGGGGUCUUGGUCGCCGGCAGCGAGGAACCACGGCGGAGAUGCUUCGGGAGGCGUUCGCUGGAGUCGAUUCCGACAGCAAUACAAACGGGAAGGAGAGGGAAAAGGAUCAGUGGUGAAUGGGGGUUCCGAAUCGAGAGAAAACAAGGGCAAAGGAGCUCCCUACCGUGCGGACCCCAGUGGCCUGACGCGGUGGAACCCGAGCUCGAUCUUGAGCUCUGGAUCUCCUGGAGAGCAGUGGGAGGAGCGGGCAUGCGAUUGGGGAGGAUAGAGAGGUUCCAGAGGGGGAGAGAGAGAGUUGGGGAGGGGCUAUUUUUAG
rnacentral:lncRNA from 1 species